rnacentral:tRNA from 1 species
GGGAUAAUAGUUAAAAUAUAACAUUUAAAUUGCAAUUAAAAAUAAUUAACAUAAUUUAAUUUAUUUCA